rnacentral:rRNA from 1 species
AGCGAACGCUGGCGGCAGGCCUAACACAUGCAAGUCGAACGAACCCUUCGGGGUUAGUGGCGGACGGGUGAGUAACACGUGGGAACGUGCCUUUAGGUUCGGAAUAACUCAGGGAAACUUGAGCUAAUACCGAAUGUGCCCUUCGGGGGAAAGAUUUAUCGCCUUAGAGCGGCCCGCGUCUGAUUAGCUAGUUGGUGAGGUAAUGGCUCACCAAGGCGACGAUCAGUAGCUGGUCUGAGAGGAUGACCAGCCACAUUGGGACUGAGACACGGCCCAAACUCCUACGGGAGGCAGCAGUGGGGAAUCUUGCGCAAUGGGCGAAAGCCUGACGCAGCCAUGCCGCGUGGAUGAUGAAGGUCUUAGGAUUGUAAAAUCCUUUCACCGGUGAAGAUAAUGACUGUAGCCGGAGAAGAAGCCCCGGCUAACUUCGUGCCAGCAGCCGCCGUAAAAC